rnacentral:rRNA from 1 species
GACGAACGCUGGCGGCGUGCUUACACAUGCAAGUCGAACGGAAAGGCCCUGCUUUUGUGGGGUGCUCGAGUGGCGAACGGGUGAGUAACACGUGAGUAACCUGCCCUUGACUUUGGGAUAACUUCAGGAAACUGGGGCUAAUACCGGAUAGGAGCUCCUGCUGCAUGGUGGGGGUUGGAAAGUUUCGGCGGUUGGGGAUGGACUCGCGGCUUAUCAGCUUGUUGGUGGGGUAGUGGCUUACCAAGGCUUUGACGGGUAGCCGGCCUGAGAGGGUGACCGGCCACAUUGGGACUGAGAUACGGCCCAGACUCCUACGGGAGGCAGCAGUGGGGAAUAUUGCACAAUGGGCGGAAGCCUGAUGCAGCAACGCCGCGUGCGGGAUGACGGCCUUCGGGUUGUAAACCGCUUUCGCCUGUGACGAAGCGUGAGUGACGGUAAUGGGUAAAGAAGCACCGGCUAACUACGUGCCAGCAGCCGCGGUGAUACGUAGGGUGCGAGCGUUGUCCGGAUUUAUUGGGCGUAAAGGGCUCGUAGGUGGUUGAUCGCGUCGGAAGUGUAAUCUUGGGGCUUAACCCUGAGCGUGCUUUCGAUACGGGUUGACUUGAGGAAGGUAGGGGAGAAUGGAAUUCCUGGUGGAGCGGUGGAAUGCGCAGAUAUCAGGAGGAACACCAGUGGCGAAGGCGGUUCUCUGGGCCUUUCCUGACGCUGAGGAGCGAAAGCGUGGGGAGCGAACAGGCUUAGAUACCCUGGUAGUCCACGCUGUAAACGGUGGGUACUAGGUGUGGGGUCCAUUCCACGGGUUCCGUGCCGUAGCUAACGCUUUAAGUACCCCGCCUGGGGAGUACGGCCGCAAGGCUAAAACUCAAAGGAAUUGACGGGGCCCCGCACAAGCGGCGGAGCAUGCGGAUUAAUUCGAUGCAACGCGUAGAACCUUACCUGGGUUUGACAUGGAUCGGGAGUGCUCAGAGAUGGGUGUGCCUCUUUUGGGGUCGGUUCACAGGUGGUGCAUGCCUGUCGUCAGCUCGUGUCGUGAGAUGUUGGGUUAAGUCCCGCAACGAGCGCAACCCUUGUUCACUGUUGCCAGCACGUUAUGGUGGGGACUCAAUGGAGACCGCCGGGGUCAACUCGGAGGAAGGUGGGGAUGACGUCAAGUCAUCAUGCCCCUUAUGUCCAGGGCUUCACGCAUGCUACAAUGGCUGGUACAGAGAGUGGCGAGCCUGUGAGGGUGAGCGAAUCUCGGAAAGCCGGUCUCAGUUCGGAUUGGGGUCUGCAACUCGACCUCAUGAAGUCGGAGUCGCUAGUAAUCGCAGAUCAGCAACGCUGCGGUGAAUACGUUCCCGGGGCU